rnacentral:rRNA from 1 species
GACGAACGCUGGCGGCGUGCUUAACACAUGCAAGUCGAGCGGUAAGGCCCUUUCGGGGGUACACGAGCGGCGAACGGGUGAGUAAUACAUCGGAACGUGCCCGGUAGUGGGGGAUAGCUCGGCGAAAAGCCGGAUUAAUACCGCAUACGACCCUGCGGGUGAAAGCGGGGGAUCGCAAGACCUCGCGCUAUCGGAGCGGCCGAUGUCAGAUUAGGUUGUUGGUGGGGUAAAGGCCUACCAAGCCGACGACUGUAGCUGGUCUGAGAGGACGACCAGCCACACUGGGACUGAGACACGGCCCA